ensembl:lncRNA
CAUAACUAACUUGGAAAGGACGUAUUCAGAAGCGGCUUAUGGUCCUUUUUCCUUCCUCAUAUGUAAGAAGAUGGCCUGAAUGGUUUCCACUUCCCUGGAACCUAGCUGCUCAGAGUCGCGGGUGCAUGGGCACUGUGUGUCCCAGGCACAUCAGGUUGCUACAGGUCCUGGGUGCUGCCUAUAGCUGGCGUGUCUCCUUUGUGCUCAUCCUGACCACAGGGGAGCAUAUACCUCAGACUUGGGGCCAAGUUUCCUGCUUCUGCUCAUGGGGAAAUAAAUUUACCGCAACACACAUGGCUGAUGGGG